UCGGCUACGAGAACGAACGCUGGCGGCAUGCCUAACACAUGCAAGUCGAACGAGACCUUCGGGUCUAGUGGCGCACGGGUGCGUAACGCGUGGGAACCUGCCUUUAGGUUCGGAAUAACUCAGAGAAAUUUGAGCUAAUACCGGAUAAUGUCUUCGGACCAAAGAUUUAUCGCCUUUAGAUGGGCCCGCGUUGGAUUAGCUAGUUGGUGGGGUAAAGGCCUACCAAGGCGACGAUCCAUAGCUGGUCUGAGAGGAUGAUCAGCCACGCUGGGACUGAGACACGGCCCAGACUCCUACGGGAGGCAGCAGUGGGGAAUAUUGGACAAUGGGCGAAAGCCUGAUCCAGCAAUGCCGCGUGAGUGAUGAAGGCCUUAGGGUUGUAAAGCUCUUUUACCCGAGAUGAUAAUGACAGUAUCGGGAGAAUAAGCUCCGGCUAACUCCGUG
rnacentral:rRNA from 1 species